CCUCUUUCUCUCUCCUCUCCCCCGACUCUUCCCCCUUUCCCUUCGGAUUUUCUUCCUCCCUCUGAUUCCUCACUUUCCGGCCACCAUCCGGCGUGCAACCGGUCACCACAGGGGCGCCUCAACCCGCUCUGGACGCCAGUGACCUAGGAUUGUGGAGUUUUGGCCGUGAAAGUCCGGAUCGAAGCAAAGAUUGCUCCGGCUGCAGUUUUGGGAUUUCGCCGAUUUCCGGCCAUUCCGGCCACCUCCGGCCACCAUAUUGACAUCGAAGGGUUCUUGAAGCUUCGGGGCUUUCCUUCACCGGCUUGAUUCGACCACUUCGAGGACGAGAGGAGUCUCCAUACGAGGAAAAUCAUGAGCGACGUCAGGAUU